AGUGAGAUGACCGAGUGUUCAGGUGUUAGGUUGUAAACCUUUUUAUAGAGGUUUAAUCCCUCUUCUUACUA
rnacentral:tRNA from 1 species